GGCAUCGAACUCCUUCCUGGGGAUAAUAUCCGUGGGGAGCGAGUGGGAGCCUGGUGCUGGGAACGCGCCUACCGACCUGAAAGGAAGGGCUGGGGGGUCGGCCGGAGCUGCAGGGACUGGGAGACUAGCUCUCCCGCGGGGCCAGGCUUGCUUCUUCACACAGGUGCGCGGUGAAGGCUCGUUCUCAGGCAGAGAGAGCAGCUCUCCAGCUGUCCUCACGGCUGUCCUCACCGCUGUCCUCACCACUGUCCUCACCGCUGUCCUCACGGCUGUCCUCACUGCUGUCGGGCAGUUAUUAGAUGGGACUUCCUGCUCUGAGCUCCCUGCCUGAAGCACGCGCAGGCUCUGUCGCCUUCCUAGGAGGCCCCGAGGCCCCGCCCACAGGUGACGUUCCCACUCUUCCCGCAGAGACGUGACUCAGGCUCUGCACUGACCCAGACAUUCUUCCUGAUCCGUCACCGCCUCUCCUUGGCCUUGCCCCGCUGUUACCUCGGCCGAGGGUCCCAGCCUCCCCUCCACCAGGCCGGUGAGCAAGCCACCGGUGCCAGCUGUCACCCCAGGUCCUGCCCCCCAGAGACCGAGAGGCAGCUGCCGGCCUUCCUUUUGUCCUGUCUUUGCUGCGUGGCCUGUGACUGGUUUGCACCCGGUGCUGGAGGCUCUGCCCGCCGUGUCUGUCUGAACCAAUGCCCAUUCUCAAUGGCGUUUCAGAUCCUGCUCUUCCUGAAGACAGCCCCCGAGUUCAGCGCCAAGCUCUUUCA